rnacentral:rRNA from 1 species
CUUCGGACCAAAGUGGGGGACCUUCGGGCCUCACGCCAUCGGAUGUGCCCAGAUGGGAUUAGCUAGUAGGUGGGGUAAUGGCUCACCUAGGCGACGAUCCCUAGCUGGUCUGAGAGGAUGACCAGCCACACUGGAACUGAGACACGGUCCAGACUCCUACGGGAGGCAGCAGUGGGGAAUAUUGCACAAUGGGCGCAAGCCUGAUGCAGCCAUGCCGCGUGUGUGAAGAAGGCCUUCGGGUUGUAAAGCACUUUCAGCGAGGAGCAAGGCAUAAAGGUUAAUAACCUUUGUGAUUGACG